CAAUUCAGUUACAUAUCGUUUAUACCUACGAGAGUCAAUAAAAAUCCAUACAAUAUUCCAUGUGUCUCUUCUUGAACUAUAUAAGGCAGUGGACAUAUCAAGAAAAAAACAAGUUUUACCUCCUCCUAAAGAAGUAGACAAUAAUAAAGAGUUCAAAGUGGAAGAAGUCUUAGAUUCAAAGUGGUGCCAAAAUAAAUUAAAAUAUCUUAUCCAUUAGCGUGGAUAUGAUAUUAACGAACACACAUGGGAACUAGUAUAGAAUCUUACAAAUGAAACGAAGGCGGUAGGGGCUUUUUAUCCACAACAUCCAUCAAAAACAAGAUGAAAAUCUUCUUUAUAAAAAAAAUAAGAUCUAGGUAAGAUAACAUUCUACUUUCAAUA
rnacentral:lncRNA from 1 species